rnacentral:lncRNA from 1 species
AGUUAUGAAUUGGUUUGUUCAAUCAAAUUAUAACAAAAGCCAACAUUCUAAUCUCUUAACCUGGUUACAGCAUUUUGCGUGGCGAUUAAGUCUAAGAGAUAAAAAAAAUUAAGUAUGUUAGGACUAAAAUAGUUUUAAGAUGGAUGGCCUUUUUGACAAGUGAGACGUCGCACUUAAACUUCAGAUUGUGAAUUACAAAUUAGACUAAUUUCGCACUUUCUCACUUGAGUACUAUGUGAUUUAAAGUGUAUCAAAUUAGUGUUCUGUGGUUUUAUUUUUAUCUUUUCGUCAGAUUUUUCGUUAAUGUUUUGUUAAACUAUUUUCAAAAAACUUCAGGUACCCCACCUAGGUUUAUCGAAUAUUCAUUUUAAUGCCCUUUAGUUUUAAUUUUAUCACUGAUUUAACGAAAAAAAUUAAUGAAAUCAAUAAUAAAAAGAUAAAAAUAAAACCACUGAGCACUAAAUUGAUACACUUUAAACCACAUGAUAGUAAUUAAAGUGAGAUAAGUGUGAAACAACAGGGAUGAUAUUUGUGUGAUUUUUUUUUUCUUCUUAUGAAAGAAAAUUCAAAAAAAAAGAUGAAAAA